rnacentral:rRNA from 1 species
AAGCUCGUAGUUGAAUUUCGGAAUCAAUUUGUUGGUCGUGCCUCGGUACGUACUGGUAUUAUUGGUUUCUACCUUCUGAAGAACCUUGAUGUCAUUAAUUUGGUGUCUUGGGGAAUCAGGACUGUUACUUUGAAAAAAUUAGAGUGUUUAAAGCAAGCAUACGCUUGAAUACAUUAGCAUGGAAUAAUGAAAUAGGACGUUUGAUUCUAUUUUGUUGGCUUCUAGGAUCGACGUAAUGAUUAAUAGGGAUAGUUGGGGGCAUUAGUAUUCAAUUGUCAGAGGUGAAAUUCUUGGAUUUAUUGAAGACUAACUACUGCGAAAGCAUUUGCCAAGGAUGUUUUCAUUAAUCAAGAACGAAAGUUAGGGGAUCGAAGACGAUUAGAUACCGUCGUAGUCUUAACCAUAAACUAUGCCGACUAGGGAUCGGAUGAUGUUAAUUUUUUAAUGACUCAUUCGGCGCCUUACGGGAAACCAAAGUGCUUGGGUUCCGGGGGGAGUAUGGUCGCAAGGCUGAAACUUAAAGGAAUUGACGGAAGGGCACCACCAGGGGUGGAGCCUGCGGCUUAAUUUGACUCAACACGGGGAAACUCACCAGGUCCAGACAUAGUAAGGAUUGACAGAUUGAGAGCUCUUUCUUGAUUCUAUGGGUG